GAUGAAGAACGUAGCGAAAUGCGAUACGUAAUGUGAAUUGCAGAAUUCAGUGAAUCAUCGAAUCUUUGAACGCAUAUUGCGCUCUCUGGUAUUCCUGAGAGCAUGCUUGUUUGAGUAUCAGUAAACACCUCAACUUCCAUAUCUUUUUUGAAAUGGGAGUUGGACUUGAGUGAUCCCAACGCUUUUCCUCACCGAAAAGUGGCGGGUUACUUGAAAUGCAGGUGCAGCUGGACUUUUCUCUGAGCUAUAAGCAUAUCUAUUUAGUCUGCCUAAAAAACAGAUUAUUACCUUUGCUGCAGCUAACAUAAAGGAGAUUAGUUCUUGUGCUGACUGAUGCAGGAUUCACAAAGACGGCUUCGGCCGACUUUGUAAACUCGAUCUCAAAUCAAGUAAGACUACCCGCUGAACUUAAGCAUAUCAAUAAGCGGAGGA
rnacentral:misc_RNA from 1 species